CCAUUAGGACCCCUCACAGACGGCACCGCGACGCCCGCAGCGGCGGCGCUUCCAAAAGACUUCGUCCUUUCGGCCAGACAUUUCAAAGGGGAGAAGCGCACCACGCGCGAAGGGCGACAGACGGGAGCCCCUUCAUGUCACCCAGGGCCCGCGUUCCCGGCCGAGGGCCGGGGUUGAGGGGCACCCGGCGCCGGCUGGGCCAACGGUGCUCGCCGCUGGCGGUGAGCCCGAGAAGCGCUGCGGGGAGGCCCCACAGCAGCCCCCAGCGGCCUGAGGACCCCGGUGCAGCCGCCUCAGACCCCUCACCUCGGAGGCCUGAGGAUAUGGGUUCGUGCUUGAAACGGUUGAACGUAGUAUGAUGCCAGGCCUCUGCUCCGCAUUGGUAAACGGGGGAAGAAAAGAGUGGCCAGAGAGGAGAGUACAAACACUGAAAGGUAUUCGGAGGGCCACAUUCUGGAAAGAUCACGAGAACCAGCAUUUUGAAGUAAGGUAAACUAGAGACUUGAAUGCCUGAGAAAAAUGAACCCAUCACAGUUCCCCUCUGGAGGAUAGAACAAGUUACUGCAAGACAGAUGUGGUAACUGCAGUGAAGCCAAUGGAUUUACACCAGGUAUGAAUUAUUCCUACUACCUUUUCCUCCAUGGAAGUCUCCCAUGGAUAAGUCAUGACUGAAUAAUACAGAAUAUGGGAUUUAAUGGGCAAGCCUUCUCC